UACGUAGGGGGCAAGCGUUGUCCGGAUUUAUUGGGCGUAAAGAGCUCGUAGGCGGCUCGGUAAGUCGGAUGUGAAACCUCCAGGCUCAACCUGGAGACGCCAUCUGAUACUGCCGUGGCUUGAGUCCGGUAGAGGAGCGGGGAAUUCCUGGUGUAGCGGUGAAAUGCGCAGAUAUCAGGAGGAACACCAGCGGCGAAGGCGCUGCUCUGGGCCGGUACUGACGCUGAGGAGCGAAAGCGUGGGGAGCGAACAGG
rnacentral:rRNA from 1 species